GGGGGACCCUUCAAGUUUACAGGUUACUGUUAUUGACCAUUUUUGCUUGCUUGUAUGCAUAAGACCAUAGCAGCGACACCUUUGACUCUUUGAGCACAAGUUUUGUCCUAUGUACACCUGUAUGUGCAGGAUAGCAGAAUUAGCAUAGGAUGAUACAAAACAAGAGGGUAGACAUACUACUACAUCAAAAAAAAUAUCAUCAGUAGAAAACAUACCAUUGUUUCACAAAAUAGACAAGUUUUUUUUGCAGAAGUUAAAACACUUUUGAUUCCUUCCCUUUCCAUCAAUAGACAGCAACAAGGGGCAAUAAUUUUACACAAUAAUAUUUUCCCAACACCUACCACACGACAAUUAAUUUUUUUUAAGCACAAACAGAAAUCCAUAGUUUCAAGUUUGAAUCAAAGCAAGCAUUCUCAAACUCCAUUGUGAAAAGAAAUCAGUAGCCAAAGGAAGGUGACUACCUGAAUCGCGCUGCUCUUUAAGGGGUAUUUUUGUUUCACCCUUUUGAUAUGUAUUGAGAAUCAUAACUUCCAUAGAGUUAAAAUACUAU
rnacentral:lncRNA from 1 species